GAUGAACGCUAGCUACAGGCUUAACACAUGCAAGUCGUGGGGCAGCAUGGGGGUUGCUUGCAACUCCCGAUGGCGACCGGCGCACGGGUGAGUAACGCGUAUCCAACCUGCCCUUCACCACGGGAUAACCCGGCGAAAGUCGGACUAAUACCGUAUGUUGUCCAUUGACGGCAUCCGAUUUGGACGAAAGGCUUUGCGGUGAAGGAUGGGGAUGCGUCCGAUUAGCCAGACGGCGGGGUAACGGCCCACCGUGGCUACGAUCGGUAGGGGUUCUGAGAGGAAGGUCCCCCACACUGGAACUGAGACACGGUCCAGACUCCUACGGGAGGCAGCAGUGAGGAAUAUUGGUCAAUGGGCGUAAGCCUGAACCAGCCAAGUAGCGUGCAGGAUGACGGCCCUAUGGGUUGUAAACUGCUUUUAUGCGGGGAUAAAGUGGCCCACGUGUGGGCUUUUGCAGGUACCGCAUGAAUAAGGACCGGCUAAUUCCGUG
rnacentral:rRNA from 1 species